CAGCCGCCGCGGUAAUACGAAGGGGGCUAGCGUUGCUCGGAAUUACUGGGCGUAAAGGGAGCGUAGGCGGAUCUUUUAGUCAGGGGUGAAAUCCCGGGGCUCAACCUCGGAACUGCCUUUGAUACUGGCGAUCUUGAGUAUGGGAGAGGUGUGUGGAACUCCGAGUGUAGAGGUGAAAUUCGUAGAUAUUCGGAAGAACACCAGUGGCGAAGGCGACACACUGGCCCAUUACUGACGCUGAGGCUCGAAAGCGUGGGGAGCAAACAGGAUUAGAUACCCGCGUAGUCCCUGUCUCUUAUAC
rnacentral:rRNA from 1 species